rnacentral:rRNA from 1 species
UGCAGUCGAACGAACUCUGGUAUUGAUUGGUGCUUGCAUCAUGAUUUACAUUUGAGUGAGUGGCGAACUGGUGAGUAACACGUGGGAAACCUGCCCAGAAGCGGGGGAUAACACCUGGAAACAGAUGCUAAUACCGCAUAACAACUUGGACCGCAUGGUCCGAGUUUGAAAGAUGGCUUCGGCUAUCACUUUUGGAUGGUCCCGCGGCGUAUUAGCUAGAUGGUGGGGUAACGGCUCACCAUGGCAAUGAUACGUAGCCGACCUGAGAGGGUAAUCGGCCACAUUGGGACUGAGACACGGCCCAAACUCCUACGGGAGGCAGCAGUAGGGAAUCUUCCACAAUGGACGAAAGUCUGAUGGAGCAACGCCGCGUGAGUGAAGAAGGGUUUCGGCUCGUAAAACUCUGUUGUUAAAGAAGAACAUAUCUGAGAGUAACUGUUCAGGUAUUGACGGUAUUUAACCAGAAAGCCACGGCUAACUACGUGCCAGCAGCCGCGGUAAUACGUAGGUGGCAAGCGUUGUCCGGAUUUAUUGGGCGUAAAGCGAGCGCAGGCGGUUUUUUAAGUCUGAUGUGAAAGCCUUCGGCUCAACCGAAGAAGUGCAUCGGAAACUGGGAAACUUGAGUGCAGAAGAGGACAGUGGAACUCCAUGUGUAGCGGUGAAAUGCGUAGAUAUAUGGAAGAACACCAGUGGCGAAGGCGGCUGUCUGGUCUGUAACUGACGCUGAGGCUCGAAAGUAUGGGUAGCAAACAGGAUUAGAUACCCUGGUAGUCCAUACCGUAAACGAUGAAUGCUAAGUGUUGGAGGGUUUCCGCCCUUCAGUGCUGCAGCUAACGCAUUAAGCAUUCCGCCUGGGGAGUACGGCCGCAAGG